CCCUGGGACAGGGUGUCAUAGCCAGAGUCAAGCACCUUGUGCCAGCCAGUCUUGAGGUGUCCAGACAGAGGGCUCUGUCUAGCUGCCCUGUGCUGGCCAGUCGGGAGGUAUCCAGGCAGAGGCAGUGGCAAUGUCUUUGAGACCCUGGGCCUGAAAUCCCUCCCCCGUGCUUCUGCCACCAACAUUUGAAAACUGAGAAAACGGAUGACUUCCAGGCAAAACUGUCUCAUGUGCAAGAGAAAAAAAGGCUUUCCACAGAGGACAACCCAAGGUCCACCCUCAUGGGACGGCCAGGACCAGAGCCGGACAGGGCUGAGUUCCCUGUGAUCUUCUCAUGACCUGGGUUCAGCCAGGCUCCAGAGGACAUUCCCUUCCCCAACACCCUGUUUCCAGUGCAAAGGCCCCAUUGGAUGAGAGGGUUCCAUCUCCCCAGAUAUCCUAAGCUCCAGAGGCUCCUGGACCUUCAGGAGCUGUUGCUCAGAAGAGCUUUGCCAGGCCUGAGGUGAGAUAUGGUGAGUGGACAGUGCCCCUGGCUCCUCCCCAGAGGUGAGGAUCCCAUGGGGUCAGGGGCUGAGGGGAGGCCCAAACCCCAGCUGGGGCCUCUCCUGGGUUGUGGGGUUUUCCAUGGGUUUGCAGUUUGAUGUCUCUUUUUUUCCCCAGAGGGAACAGAAGCACUGGGACCAGGGCUGAGCUCUGGCUGGACAGGGCUUGGGGAAGCCUGUCUACCAGGGGUCCCUGAGCCGUGGAGCAGGGAGGUUUGGGGGAUAUUUUUGAGGGCUUCAAGCACCUCUGCUUUUUCCAUCAGCACAAGGAGGGCUUCUCUGUAGGGCUGCACACCAUGGCCUGGUUCCUACUCUGCUUCACUGAGGUGAGACGGAUGCGUGGGGAGCCCUAGGCCAGGGCCCCUCCUGCCCCACCGUGCCUGGCUCCGCAGCCCAGGGGAGGGCUCAAGUCACCCCACCCCACAGGAGGCCUGGGCAGGUCCUUGAAGGGAAGAUGAGCCAGGCCUUGCCCGAGAGGGGGUGGCCCAUAGCAGAGGCUCAGGCCAGCAAGGUGGGCAGACCCUGUCAGGACCCACCUUGGGGGAGCCCAGGGAACCCCAUGUCCUCAGGGAGACCCUUCUUCCAGAAGCCAACUCCCUGCUGGGAUGAGUCCACCCCGAGGAGCUACAGGACUUGCCUGACUCAGCCUUGGGAGCUCCCGUCCCAUGUGGAAGGUCUUGGGACCUAUAGGCUGAGGCCCAUUGGGCCCUGCUCAGGUGUCACCCCCAGCCUGCAAGGGCUCUGUCCCCUAGCCCCUGCUAUCCCCACAGACCUCCUUCCCGCUCACCCCGAGGAGGUGGGACUUGUACAUCCUGGAGGGUGAAUGCAUAUCAACUUUGUAGGAUUUGAAUUACACGGAGAUAAGUCCCUGAGCCAGAGGGUUCCUGAAGGGAGCAGGCAGCACAGACCUGGUUGGCCCCAGGGCAGCACUCACCCCUCCCACCAGGGCCUCUGCUCCGGCCCCAGCAUGACACACGUGAGAGGAGGUGAACGCUCCCUGCAGGGGCUUUUCUCCUGCUGGGGCCUCCUAUGCACAGCUGGACCCCAGGGGUAGCCACAGAGGGACCCAGCUCUGGUCCAAUGGGUGGGGUACGGCAUGGGGAGCAGGGUGCAGGCCCUGACCACUCCCAUGGAACUCCUCUCAACUGAUGCCUGCCCAUCCCUGGAAUGCCUCCCAAACUUCCUGUAUUUGCAAUGCAGGAAAAUUCCUGGGGUCUCCUUGUCCCAGGCCUGGGCUGUCCCAGACCGGACACUGAGGUGCUUGGGCUCCUUUGGUGUCCUUGGCAGAGCUAAGGAGGAAGCACUGGGACCUGCCCCCUCCAGGUGGGCUUCAACACCAGGUCCCCUCUUGAGUCACUGUGUGGGCCAGUGAAGAGCGGGCAGUGCCUGGCCCCUGGAGCCCUUCCUCCUCCUCUUCCUCACCUUGUCCAGCCUAUUCUUAGAAUUGGCUGGGUCCCAUGGCAGGUGGUGACAGUGGGUUCACUGGUUAUAUCUGGGAGAUGGGGAGGGCAUGUCGGCAAGAUUCCUCCCAGGCCUUCCCCUACAUCCUCCUGCUACUGUCCAUGAGGGCCCCCUGAAUGGCUGGGACAGGUGGGAUGGUUGUUCCCACCUGAGUUCUGAACCAUGGCUGAGGCCCAGGCCAAGCAGCUCUGGGGAGAGGGCAUGAGGCAGGGGCCUGAGCCAGCGUGAUCCGUGGGGCUCAUCCGAGGGCAGUCGGAAGUGUGGUGCCUGACACUCUCCCAUCCUACGUGGACACAGCCCUGGCCCUGGGAUCAGCUGCCUGCAGCGAAUGUCUCAGUGUCAGGGGACCCAAGCAGGAACUACGAGCACUCCAGCAACCCCAAUCUGGGGUUCUGGCCCUGGGAGGGCCAGAUAUGCUCAGAGAAGAAGCUCAACAAGCCUGAUUUCCUUCCAGCCUAAGUAGGGGAGCAUCCCAGGCAGGUCCUGGGGCUGGGGCUGCAGCAUCCAGAGCCCCCCAGGAGUGCUGGACUGGCCCUCCCUGGCCCAGCAUCCCAGGGGACAGCCCCUGACUCAGGAGCCUUGUCCUCCCCAACCCUCGCCUGACCCAGCCAGGAUUUGGGGAUAGAGCAUGGGCAGGACCUCUGUCCAGAGCUGGCUGACCCUCUCUGGCCCAGUAGCUCCAGCAGCCCAGCUCCAGCAACCCUUGGGGAAGCCCCCUGACUCAGGCACCUGGUUCUCCCCGACCCUUGUCUGGCUGUGCUGUCCCCCAGAUAGAGGCCCAGCAGGAUGUAAGGGCUUCCACAGAGUCUAGGGGGACCUUGGGAGAUCAGGCUGUGGCCAGCCGGUCGCCAGUGCCAAACAGACCACAGGUGGUUUGGAGAUUUCUUCGCAGGGUGUUAAUGCCUAAGCUCUUGAUACACCUGGAUGUUGGGGAUCCUGGUUUCCUCAGGAUGGCCUGGAGUAGUGCUUCUGGGUAUAUCUUCCUCUUCUACAUCUGCCAUCCUGGCCAUCCCCAGGACCAUGGGUUAGGUCAGACCCUCCCAACUGUGGCCCUAUCACCAGCCCCUACUCAACCCAUGGAACACCCAAGGCAGGGCCAGGGUUUUCUCCCCACUACCCUUAUGGUGGGGCCUAUGUCUGCCUGUUCUUGGGGUGGGGAGUGACAAGAAUGUCUUGAAAAGAGCCAGGACAACCCCUGACAAGCUGCCCCUCAUCCAGCUGGCUGACCUUUGGAUCUGAGUCCUACUCCCAGGGAACACAUCACAGAGCUAGAAGCUUCCAGCCUGGCCUUAAGCUGAGCCUUGGAAAGGGAGAGGCACCAGGGACAAUGAGGGCCCCAGCAGCCAGCAUGACCUUCUCAGAGACCUGGGAACUGCUGCUGACUAGCACAGAAAAGGAAAGUCCUGUGGGAGCAGUGCAAGUCCUGCUGCCACCAAUCCAGCUGCCCCAAGCUCAGCUGCCACCGUUCCAGCUGCCCCAAACCCUUCUGCCCAUCCAGCUAUGCCAGUCCUGGUGCUACCAAUACAGCUACCCCAAUCCAUGGUGCUGCUGAUCUGGCCGACGCAAGCCCUGUUGCUGCCAAUUAGGCUGCUGUGUCCCCAUUUGGAAAUGGUGCACAGGUAGCUGGGGACUGCCCUUGUCCACCAAGGCAACAUCUAGGAACUGCCAAGCCUUCAACACCAAUGGCUCUCAUAGUGAGAGUGGGGCAAGAGCAGGAGGAGCAGCUCCCAAGCACACUCAUAGGAGGAGGCUGGGAUGGGCAGGCUCCCGUGUCCUGAGUGGUCUCCUCCUGCCAUUGACCAGAACUUGCUCUUUGAGAAGGAAAAAUGUUCCCCAUCAUAGGGAGAACACAGGAGAAAACAGGACUGCUAUGUGCUCUGGAGGAUGGGUCCUGAGGUCUUCUUGCCUUAGCUCAAGCAUGUCUUCGAAAAAAAAGCCAGGAAAUGUGGUCCCACUACAAAAAAUGAACCUGCAAGACAGGGACCAGAGCCACCAGCAGUUUCUAAGAAGUCCUUCCUUUGGGCCUCUCAAUACCCUGGAGUCCCCCAGUUGGUUAAAAAAAUAAAUUUGUUGUGUUUGGCCUGUUUCUUUAGCUCUCAAAACUGUCUGCAGGGAGCACUGGAUACCCUUGGGCAGGUGCUGGUGAGGGUGGCCUGGCCCAGGCCCCUGACCAGCCUGUCUUGGAACAGGUCACAGCAGAACUGAGGGCAGGACAGAGCUGAGCUUCCCACCUACCUCCUGUGUGGUCACAAGCACUGCCCCUCCCACCCUCAGCAGACACCAGGGUCUAGACUACUUGAUAAUUCACUGAGACUCAACCAGGGUUCCACAGGGUCUUUGCUGAGGCCUGAGACAGCAGCAGAGAGCUGGGGAUCAGCGGCAUUUGGGCUAUUCAUGGCACUCUCUGUGAAGUGUCCUUGGGAGGGUCUGGGGUCACCUCUGUCCACUGUCCUUUGGUGGUUGGGUUCCAGUGACACAUUUUCCUCCUCCUCUCCCUCCUUCUGUCUAUACUUUCUCCCUACAUCUGGCACCCCCACCUCCUGAGGCUGGAGAGGGACACCAAGGGCACCACUGACCGCAGGCUAAGGACCAGCAGUGUCCUGAGGUGGUUCAUCUGUCCCCAGGGCAGAAUAUGACAGCACAUUUGCCUGUGCAUGUGAGCACCUGUGAGAUGGGCGCUGGCAGGCACUGCAGCAGGACUGCUUGGCUGAGUCAGGAUGUCUGGAAACAAAGUUUCCAGCCUCCCUGCUCAAAACAGGAGGUAAGACAAGUUAGAACCAAGGUGGGGGAGAAACCAACCUCUUCUGGAUGGGUUAGCCUCAUUAUACCCUCAUUACCAUAAAAUUACCAUAAAAUGUCUGCAGGUACCACCCACUCCCAUCAUGUACCUGACUGGGGACACCUCCUGUUUGACCAUAUUUAGUCAAAAGGAGGCAUCACCCUAAUUCCAAGAAACCCCUCCCCUUUCAAGAAAUAACAUGAAUAGUCCUCCCCUUGUUUAGCAUAUACUUAAGCUGUUGCUUAAAUAGAAACAUCUAUGGAUCCAUGGGGCCUGGUUCUUUGCAGGGGAGUCUGUGGAAUAGAUUUUCUAUACUUUCUGAAUAAAAUUCUUUUUCUCUUUUU